AGUGAACGCUGGCGGUAGGCCUAACACAUGCAAGUCGAACGGCAGCACAGUAAGAGCUUGCUCUUACGGGUGGCGAGUGGCGGACGGGUGAGGAAUACAUCGGAAUCUACUUUUUCGUGGGGGAUAACGUAGGGAAACUUACGCUAAUACCGCAUACGACCUACGGGUGAAAGCAGGGGUUCUUCGGACCUUGCGCGAUUGAAUGAGCCGAUGUCGGAUUAGCUAGUUGGCGGGGUAAAGGCCCACCAAGGCGACGAUCCGUAGCUGGUCUGAGAGGAUGAUCAGCCACACUGGCACUGAGACACGGUCCAGACUCCUACGGGAGGCAGCAGUGGGGAAUAUUGGACAAUGGGCGAAAGCCUGAUCCAGCCAUACCGCGUGGGUGAAGAAGGCCUUCGGGUUGUAAAGCCCUUUUGUUGGGAAAGAAAAGCAGCAGGUUAAUACCCCGCUGUUCUGACGGUACCCAAAGAAUAAGCACCGGCUAACUUCGUG
rnacentral:rRNA from 1 species